GUGCAUAUAUCAAGGAAACAAGGGCAGGGCUGUUCGGGCAGGGAUUAUACCAGUACUGUUAAUGAUGCUGAAAGAUUCAAGCAGCUGCAUGGUUGAUGAAGCCUUGACCAUUCUUUCAGUUCUUGCCAGCCACCAAGAGGCCAAGGCUGCCAUAGCAAAAGCUAGCACGAUUCCUGUAUUGAUAGAUCUACUAAGGACAGGUCUACCUCGUAAUAAAGAGAAUGCUGCUGCUAUCUUGCUAUCCUUGUGCAAAAGAGAUACUGUGAACUUAUCUUGCCUUCGUAGGC
rnacentral:misc_RNA from 1 species